UGAGGGAGUUUGUGACUGGAUCAGA
rnacentral:piRNA from 1 species